AGGCUUCUUUAACUCUAUUCAGUCAAUUCAAUAUAAAACAUCAUCCAAAACUACCGAAGAACUUGUUGCUGCAGUGGAUGAGAUCAGGCUUUUCAGGGUUACUCUGUGCACCAAUUAAAUAGAAUUUUCUUGACUCUCCAUGGUUGUAUGAAGGAAGUAAUGAAAGUCGGUGGUGGCAAUGGAUAUGAUGUUCCACACAUCAGAAAAGGGAUGCUCAAAAGGCAAGGGUGUCUCCCGUUGCAACUGAAGUGUGAAGCGCAAUUGGUGCAGGCUGCUAUGGCUCAAAUCAAUGAAUAAAGAGUGAAAUAAAGAGUAGUGUCUGUAAUGGUCUUGUGUCAGUCCUGCAGUGUCUAUAAUGUUUGACAGUACCUGUAAUAUCAUGUGUCACUGAAUCUGCAUUAUGUGUGUGAUUGAGUCUGCAUUCUCUGUUAUACUACUGUGCUUCAGAUCAGAUCCUAUGUCAGCUAUGCUAA